rnacentral:rRNA from 1 species
GACGAACGCUGGCGGCGUGCUUAACACAUGCAAGUCGAACGGAAAGGCCCUGCUUUUGUGGGGUGCUCGAGUGGCGAAAGGGUGAGUAACACGUGAGUGACCUCCGCUUGACUUUGGGAUAACUUCAGGAAACUGGAGCUAAUACCGGAUAUGAGCACCUGCUACAUGGUUUGUGUUGUAAAGUUUCGCCGGUUGGGGAUGGACUCGCGGCUUAUCAGCGUGUUGGUGGGGUUGUGGCUUACCAAGGCAUUGACGAGUAGCCGGACUGGGACGGUGACCGGCCACAUUGGCAUAGAGAUGCCGGCAAGAGUCAUUCGGGGGCAAGGGGUGGGAAACAGACCACGAAGCGUCGAAGCAGGGAAGAGGAACGCCGGAUGGGAAAUCACGGUCUUCGGAUUGUAACCCGCGUUCGACUGGAACGAAGAGUGAGUGACGGUAAUGGGUAAAAAAGCAACGGCUAACUACGUG